rfam:Glycine max cultivar Williams 82 chromosome 9, whole genome shotgun sequence.
AGAGAGUGAUGCAGCCAAGGAUGACUUGCCGGCGUUAUUAUUUGCUCAUGUUCAUGCUCACCGGUUUCCUUGCCGGCAAGUUGUGUUUGGCUAUGUUUUGCUCUCU